rnacentral:rRNA from 1 species
CAGCCCCUCGAGUGGUGGGGAUGAUUAUUUGGCCUAAAGCGUCCGUAGCCGGCUCUGUAAAUCUCUCGUUAAAUCCAGCGUCCUAAGCGUUGGGCUGCGAGGGGAACUGCAGAGCUAGAGGGUGGGAGAGGUCAGCGGUAUUCCUGGGGUAGGGGCGAAAUCCACUGAUCCCAGGAGGACCACCAGUGGCGAAGGCUGCUGACUUGAACACGCCUGACGGUGAGGGACGAAAGCUGGGGUAGCGAAUCGGGAUUAGAUACCCGAGUAGUCCCAGCCGUAAACGAUGCAGGCUAGGUGUUGGGUUGGCCACGUGCUAGCUCAGUGCCACAGGGAAGCCAUUAAGCCUGCCCGCCUGGGAGUACGGCCGCAAGGCUG